AACGAACGCUGGCGGAGUGCUUAAGACAUGCAAGUCGAACGAGAAAGUCGUCUUCGGAUGGCGAGUACAGUGGCGCACGGGUGAGUAACGCGUGGGUAAUCUGCCCCUAGGUCUGGGAUAACCCUGGGAAACUGGAGCUAAUACCAGAUAAGACCACGAUGUCUUCGGAUGAUGUGGGAAAAGGUGGCCUCUCCUUGGAAGCUACCGCCUUUGGAUGAGCCCGCGUACCAUUAGCUUGUUGGUGAGGUAACGGCUCACCAAGGCAUCGAUGGUUAGCUGGUCUGAGAGGAUGAUCAGCCACACUGGAACUGAGACACGGUCCAG
rnacentral:rRNA from 1 species